CGGGUGAGUAAUGGAUAAGUAACCUGCCCUUAAGUGGGGGAUAACACUUCGAAAGAAGUGCUAAUACCGCAUGUGGUGCUCUUUCACAAGAAGGAUCACUAAAACCGCAAGGUGCUUGAGGAGGGGCUUGUCUCCGAUUAGCUAGUUGGUGGGGUAACGGCCUACCAAGGCGAUGAUCGGUAGCUGGUCUGAGAGGAUGGUCAGCCACACUGGGACUGAGACACGGCCCAGACUCCUACGGGAGGCAGCAGCAAGGAAUCUUGGGCAAUGGGCGAAAGCCUGACCCAGCGACGCCGCGUGAGGGAUGACGGCCUUCGGGUUGUAAACCUCUUUUCUCAGGGAAGAAUAAUGACGGUACCUGAGGAAUAAGUCUCGGCUAACUACGUGCCAGCAGCCGCGGUAAUACGUAGGAGGCGAGCGUUAUCCGGAUUUAUUGGGCGUAAAGUGGGCGUAGGUGGUCUUUCAAGUCGGAUGUGAAAUCUCCCGGCUCAACUGGGAGGGGCCAUCCGAUACUGUUGGACUUGAGUACAGCAGGGGAAAAUGGAAUUCCCGGUGUAGUGGUGAAAUGCGUAGAUAUCGGGAGGAACACCAGAGGCGAAGGCGAUUUUCCAGGCUGAAACUGACACUGAGGCCCGAAAGCGUGGGGAGCGAACAGGAUUAGAUACCCUGGUAGUCCACGCCUUAAACCCCAAAAGGAGGUAUAGGG
rnacentral:rRNA from 1 species